CCCUUAGAUGUCCGGGGCCGCACGCGCGCUACACUGAAGGAAUCAGCGUGGCUUUCUCCCUGACCCGAAAGGGUUGGGAAACCCGUUGAAUCUCCUUCGUGAUAGGAAUUGGGGCUUGAAAUUGUUCCCCAUGAACGAGGAAUUCCCAGUAAGCGCGAGUCAUAAGCUCGCGUUGAUUACGUCCCUGCCCUUUGUACACACCGCCCGUCGCUACUACCGAUUGAACGGUUUAGUGAGGGCCUCGGAUUGGUCUCGGCCCGCUCUUUACCGGGCGGCGCCGUUGGUCGAGAAGACGCUCGAACUUGAUCGUUUAGAGGAAGUAAAAGUCGUAACA
rnacentral:rRNA from 1 species